CCCGAGCCGGGCUCCAUUGUUGUUGCAGCCGGAGGAAGGGGGAGCAGCCCAGCUUCGGGAGCGAGGGAAGCCGCGCCUUGGAGCCUUUCCAGGCGGGUCCCGGGAGAGGCGGUAAUGGCCGCGCCGUGGGAGCGGGGAGUCGGCGCGGCGGCGAAGCCUCGCUGCAUGCAUGGGGCGCUGUUGUGUGUUUCAGAGCGCCUCGCGCCCCGCCGGAGCCCGACGAGCAUCCUCCGCAGGUGAUGAGCCCCUCGCGCACCCGGCGCAGAACGCCGCCGCCGCCGCCGGACGCCUCCAUUGUUUGACCACAACGAGGGCCGGGUUCUCAGCCAGCAGGCUCCAAGGCUUCUAUAGCCCUUCAGCCACUGUGGGCCCUCCUCUGCUGCUGCUUCUGGAAUGUCUGGGGGGUUUUGACUCCUGGCACUGUGCUUAACUCAAGAAGAGAACACAUGUCUUACAUAGGACAGGUAUUUAUUCAUCUUUGUCAUUGCCGAAACCCAGAAUACUCUAGCCGAAUGUGCAGUCUGGGUCUGGUUCACACACCUGACGACAUUUUGCAUUAUUUCCACGCACAGUGAGGAAGCGGAGAGGGGAGAACCCUGUCUCCGUAACCGCUGGACUUGGGGGUGUGCGGGCGGCUUUUUGUCUCUCCCGACUGCCAAAGGUCGACUUCUCACUUCCGGGCUUCUCCCUUCCCCGACUUCACUUUCCCACUGUGUGGAGAGAAUUGGGGAGGUAGAGGACAUGCUGGUGACCUCCGUCCUAGUGGGCCCAGUUGCUAUACCCGGUUAGAAGGCGAAGCCCACGGGCAGGUGGUAGCUUUUCUCUUGCCUAACUUCACAUGGCCAGAGCGGGGACGCUGAAGCUGCUCCUGGACGGACCCGCCUGAUUUCCAGGUGAUGGCCCCGUUGGGAAGUCUGGGCAGGUAUGCCUUGGCGUCGUGCAAGUGUUCUCUCUCCUCUCUGUCUCUUUCUGGCUCCAUCCUUGCCCGUGCUGCCUUGGGUAUCCUCAGCCACCCUGCUUAAUAUGAGCGAUGAGGCCUGAGAUAUAGGUCCAGUAUUUUAUGAAUUCCCAUUCCUUCCAGUGCUCACUUUGGUCUCAAGCUCAAGGUUAUCAGUGAUACAGGGAAAAGGAGUUCUCCAUGUGAUCCGGCCGAGCUUAUGGAAUGCCGCAGCGGGAAUUGGAGUCUCAGGCCUAGCUAGUUCAGCCCCGUGCACGAUUGAUUCCACCUGGAGUAUGUAGACGUGAGGGUGGCUGCUGAGACGGCUGGCCGGGUUCGAUGCUAGUCUUUGAUCCCAUGCGUUU